rnacentral:lncRNA from 1 species
GUUCUGUGGUUUUGACAAUGGAGAAAUCUCCACAUCCUUCUCCUUCCUGUUCCCUCUGAGCCUCUUCUUCCUCUGCUGGACACCUGUGCCAAGGAACCUACCUAAAUCCAGAAAUCUCCAUAUCCACCUCCUUCCCCCACCACCUGAGCGUCUUCCUCCCCUGCUGGACACGUGUGCCAAGGAACCUACCUAAAUCCAGAUGGUGCCACAAUGCCCGAACAGCUGCUCUGCAUCUUCCUGGCUGCCUCUCCAGGCUAAGAACGGGAUUGGAGAUGGAUCCACGGAACCUCAAGGAGAGAUCUCCACACCCUUCUCCUUCCCCCACCACCUGAGCGUCUUCCUCCCGUGCUGGACACAUGUGCCAAGGAACCUACCUAAAUCCAGAUCUAUGUCCUCCUCCUCCCUGCUCCACCUCAGCCUCUUCCUCCCUGCUGGACACCUGUGCCAAGGAACCUACUAAAUCCAGUGAUCUCUGCAUCCUCCUCCUCCCUGUUGGACACCUGUGCCAAGGAACCUACCUAAAUCCAGAGUCCUCCGCAUCCUCCUCCUCCUUUCUCACCCCGAGCAUCUUCCUUGUCUGCUGGACACCUGUGCCAAGGAACCUACCUCAAUCCAGGGGAAACGUCCAAAAAGCAGUGGCUCAGGGGAAAAAAGGAAAAGGAAGUCUGUGGAGAAAUUUCAGAGAUAGAUCCCAGGGAUGAGAACAGCCUGGCCAGCCACAAACCCCCUUCUACAAUGUCCAGUCAUGUCCUAAAGCACUGCUUUCCAGAUGCCACACUGGACAAAAGUUGACUCUCAAGAACUGCAUGCCCAAGUUUCAAGCUAAAUGCUGUGUGAUUCAGAGCUAUUCCAUCACAGGAUCCAAAGGCAUUCAGACCACGGAGAGCCAGGCACAUCGUCUCCUCUUAGGGCUCCAUAACCAGUAUGGAAACGACCUCUAGCCAUGAAGAAGAGCUCUGUAGCCACUAUCAGGAGAUGCAGCGUCCACCCAAGAGUCAGAAGAAGCCCAUAACACACCUUCCAUUGCUGGGCUUAUCCUGGGGUUCCACCAGUGGCAUUGGCAACCCCAUCUCUGCGUCUGGAAUUACCAACACCAAGCAGCAGAUGGGCAUGUCAGGGCUCCUUGUCCUCUAGCGUCCAUUACCUAUACCAGCCCUUCAGAUCCCAUUCUUCUGCAUCCUGACUCCUCCCAGUCUGUUUGCACUGCUCCUGAGCACCUGUGAGCCUGAUUUGGUCCUCUCCUCUUCAUCUCUCUCUCUCUCUGUCAGAAAAAUCAAGGGCUACCUUAGGGCUCUGUGACCAGCUCAGGUGAAAGGAAAAUGCAGAACUUUUCAGAGAUCCCUUAAGAGAUUGGUCUCUGGGAUGUACCCAGCCUGCUCUCCAAGGGACCUCUGCUUUUUCACUCUCCACUGAUGAACACCAGCCCAGCCAUCCUGAGCCUGGAGAGGCAGUUGCAUGCUGUAAGCAAGCUCUCCCGGCGGGGCACCUCCUGGGGGAUCCACCAUCCUCAUUUCCAUCCAUGUCUGUGAGCCUAGAAGGGCAAUACAAGCUUCUGCUGAGCUUAGAUGGUGCUUUUUGGCGCCCUCUGGUGGACAUUCUCUCUAAUGACAACUCAGAGCCCUGCCUCCUGUCUCCUGCCCAAACCCACCCCUGGGCCUGUGCAUCAGAGAGAGGAUUUAAUUCCUCCGCUCACUCUGAUAACAACCAAGAGCCUUUAAGAGGGUGUGUUUUUCCCUCAAUGCCAGCCAUGGCACCCACUCCUCCCAAUCCUUCACUAUCCUCCUUAAUCAGUGAGCUGAGCCUACUCCAGAAUCGGGUAACCGUUUUUACAUUAGUCAGCUUCCCCUCCUGAUUUAUGUAACACUGACUGGUUGCAGUCAGUGUUUUCCUCUCAGGGCUUAACAAGGGGAGGGAGAGGCUCAGAUGGAAGGAAAAGAAAAAACUUUUCAGAGAGAUACGUCUGUGCGUUGGAUGCAUCCUGCCCAGCAGGGAACCUCUGCAUUUACACUCUCCGUGCACGACCAACAGCAGCCCGGCUUUCUGAACCCCCAAAACCAUACAAGUCUGAUCCUAGAACAUUGCCUGCCCAAUAUUCAAGCCGACUCCACUUGGGUUCACACAUCUGCCUCUGUAGAAUCCAGAGCUCUUGACAGCCUGCCCAACUGUCUGAAAGUGACCCACAGAAGUGAAGGCAGAAAAGUGUCCUUUCUGUCAGGUCAGGUCAUUUAGAUUUGAGUGUCUGAGGUGAUCCAUAAACUAGCCCUCCUCUGAAGGCACGUGUCAGGAAAUCCACCACCACCACCAUCACCACCACCACCACCAAUCCCAAGCAGCCGCUGGGCUCCGCCGCUGCUCUGGCGCCCUCUAGUGGCCAUUCUUUAAUAACUCAGAGCCUUUUCUCCUGCCUCCUGACCAAACCCAUGGCUGGACUACACUGGGUUUGUGCAUCUGACAGCCAAUUCCCUCCUACUCUCACUCUGAGAACCACCAUGUACCUUACGAGAGGGCGAGGUGUCUCUCUCAACAUCCCCCAGCUCACUCCUUCCUCCGUGUUCUACUCUAGUCAUUCACCUCCACCUGGAAAUUCAUCUGCCUGCCUUAAUACUCAUUUCAAUUCUCCGGGGGUAACUGCUAGAAAAGAGUGGCUCGGGGAGGAAAACAAAAAGGAAGUCUGUGGUGAAGUUUCAGAAACAGAUUCCAGGGAUUAAUCAGAUUGUUAUGAUCAUUAUACAACUACAGAUGUGAUAAAUUCAUUUGAGUAAAAAAAAAAAAGAAAAAAAAA